rnacentral:rRNA from 1 species
AGUGAACGCUGGCGGUAGGCCUAACACAUGCAAGUCGAACGGCAGCACAGUAAGAGCUUGCUCUUACGGGUGGCGAGUAGCGGACGGGUGAGGAAUACAUCGGAAUCUACUUUUUCGUGGGGGAUAACGUAGGGAAACUUACGCUAAUACCGCAUACGACCUACGGGUGAAAGCAGGGGAUCUUCGGACCUUGCGCGAUUGAAUGAGCCGAUGUCGGAUUAGCUAGUUGGCGGGGUAAAGGCCCACCAAGGCGACGAUCCGUAGCUGGUCUGAGAGGAUGAUCAGCCACACUGGAACUGAGACACGGUCCAGACUCCUACGGGAGGCAGCAGUGGGGAAUAUUGGACAAUGGGCGCAAGCCUGAUCCAGCCAUACCGCGUGGGUGAAGAAGGCCUUCGGGUUGUAAAGCCCUUUUGUUGGGAAAGAACAGCAGCAGGUUAAUACCCCGCUGUUCUGACGGUACCCAAAGAAUAAGCACCGGCUAACUUCGUG